rnacentral:lncRNA from 1 species
GGAGAAGGGAGCAGAGCAGUGAGCACUGCAGGAUGAGAGCACUGCCUUACCUGCAGGUGGACCAGCAGAUGGAAGUCCUUCUCAGUGCAUUUAAAGCAGCCACUGGGAGCCAACCUUCCACCCCCGUGUGCCCACACGGAAGAAGAUAGGAGGAUUUGACGUCUAUUGAUGGAUGUGACUCCUGGAAGGCGUCUCUUAGCCGAAGGACCCG